GCGCACAGAUUAAUACCGAUGCAGCAUUUUAACCGGGAAGUAUUCCAGGUAUCGUUAUUUAUAUUUUUACCACUGGGAAGGGAUUAACAAUCAUCACUAUUGAUUACAGAAUAGAAUAUGAGAUUGAGUAUCUAUCAUUGCAUAUGUAAUUGAGAACAUUUAUCUAACUCUUCAUACAGGGAUAAGUGUCACAUAAAAGAUAUAUGAAAUAAUGAAUAGUGACAAAGAUAAUUAGUCUGAUCUAGCCACAUAAUAAAUAUGAUAAGCACCUCAAUUAGAUACUCUAGAAAGUCAUUAGCAUGGUAUUAGAACGAACUACAAGAAUAUUCCCUAAGUUAUUCUCAAUUAUAUAGUCUAGCAUUAUCAUAAUUAGUGCAAGCAUACUUAGCAAUCAUUGCGAGACAAGACUACGCCCA
rnacentral:lncRNA from 1 species